CCUCCGGGAGGCAGCAGUGAGGAAUAUUGGUCACUGGACGCAAGUCUGAACCAGCCAAGUAGCGUGCAGGAUGACGGCCCUCCGGGUUGUAAACUGCUUUUAGUUGGGAAUAAAAGGGGGCUCGUGAGCCCCGUAUUGUAUGUACCAUCAGCAAAAGGACCGGCUAAUUCCGUGCAAGCAGCCGCGGUAAUACGGAAGGUCCGGGCGUUAUCCGGAUUUAUUGGGUUUCAAGGGAGCGUAGUGCGGCUUGUAAGUCAGCUGUGAAAGUCCGCGGCUCAACCGGGGAAUUGCAGUUUAAAAUGGAGGCCUUGAGUGCACACAGGGAUGCCGGAAUUCAUGGUGUAGCGGUG
rnacentral:rRNA from 1 species